AGAUUUCAAAAGCCUAGGGUUUCUGAGAGACACACACAAAGGGAUGAGAAGAAAAGAUUGGGAACAGCUAUUGUGGGUAGGUCUUCUGCAUCCAGGAGUAAAACUGAGAGGAGCCUUCAGCACAGAGUCUGGAUCAUCGCUGAAUUCAAUUGACAUCUGAAUUUUACUGGUGAAGAUACUGAAACUGAGAGGAGUUAAAUGACAGAGCUAUUAUGGAGCAGGAAAAGGAUUCACAUUCAGCUCUUGACUUUAAUUCAUUGCUUCUAUAAAAUGGAAAGAACAUUUG
rnacentral:lncRNA from 1 species